rnacentral:rRNA from 1 species
ACAUCCAGAGAACUUAGCAGAGACGCUUUGGUGCCUUCGGGAACUCUGAGACAGGUGCUGCAUGGCUGUCGUCAGCUCGUGUUGUGAAAUGUUGGGUUAAGUCCCGCAACGAGCGCAACCCUUAUCCUUUGUUGCCAGCGGCUCGGCCGGGAACUCAAAGGAGACUGCCGGUGAUAAACCGGAGGAAGGUGGGGAUGACGUCAAGUCAUCAUGGCCCUUACGGCCAGGGCUACACACGUGCUACAAUGGCGCAUACAAAGAGAAGCGACCUCGCGAGAGCAAGCGGACCUCAUAAAGUGCGUCGUAGUCCGGAUUGGAGUCUGCAACUCGACUCCAUGAAGUCGGAAUCGCUAGUAAUCGUAGAUCAGAAUGCUACGGUGAAUACGUUCCCGGGCCUUGUACACACCGCCCGUCACACCAUGGGAGUGGGUUGCAAAAGAAGUAGGUAGCUUAACCUUCGGGAGGGCGCUUACCACUUUGUGAUUCAUGACUGGGGUGAAGUCGUAACAAGGUAAGCGUAGCGAG